AGAGCAGUCUCGUAGUGACCUGCGGAGGGAUCAUUACACAAAUAUGAAGGCGGGCUGGAACCUCUCGGGGUUACAGCCUUGCUGAAUUAUUCACCCUUGUCUUUUGCGUACUUCUUGUUUCCUUGGUGGGUUCGCCCACCACUAGGACAAACAUAAACCUUUUGUAAUUGCAAUCAGCGUCAGUAACAAAUUAAUAAUUACAACUUUCAACAACGGAUCUCUUGGUUCUGGCAUCGAUGAAGAACGCAGCGAAAUGCGAUAAGUAGUGUGAAUUGCAGAAUUCAGUGAAUCAUCGAAUCUUUGAACGCACAUUGCGCCCUUUGGUAUUCCAAAGGGCAUGCCUGUUCGAGCGUCAUUUGUACCCUCAAGCUUUGCUUGGUGUUGGGCGUCUUGUCUCUAGCUUUGCUGGAGACUCGCCUUAAAGUAAUUGGCAGCCGGCCUACUGGUUUCGGAGCGCAGCACAAGUCGCACUCUCUAUCAGCAAAGGUCUAGCAUCCAUUAAGCCUUUUUUUCAACUUUUGACCUCGGAUCAGGUAGGGAUACCCGCUGAACUUAAGCAUAUCAAUAGNCGGAGGAAA
rnacentral:rRNA from 1 species